AUUGCACCACUGCAGAUUCCAAGAGAAGUAAGCACAAAACUACAGCAACGUCAAAUAAUAUCUUCUUCGGCAACUAGGAAAAUCCCCACAUGCUAUCUGGUGUCAGCCCAAUGCAGACUGAGGCGCGCUGUGCCCGGAACCACAGGAAGCCGGGCAUCUCUGCAGCCUGUGUCCCUGCCAGCUCCCCCUACGCGCUGAAAUUCGGCAGGGAAGAAGUUAUGGUGCCCAGCCUGUGUGUGCAAGACAGAGACACCGCGCAUCAUGGCUCUGAAAAUCAGCCAAGUGGCCGGGACGUCAAAGCGGCAGAGCAAUCAGAAUGCCCUGGAGCCGGGGAUGGAGGGGCCACAUUGUUUGAGCCCUCGGAUUUUGCUGCAUUGUCACCGCCCGGGAACGUAGGGGUAGCAGGAAGCACACCUCCAGCCAAAAAUGGACCGGACGCAUUUUUUUCCCCCCGGCGGCUCCCUCCCUGCCUGUCUGCAAGUCGCAAUACGAUCAGAUUUAUUUGGAGAAGACAAAAAACCCACAACCCAAAGGACGGGAUUUUACAUCUCAAGACAUCUCCCAGGACACCAUUGAAGGCACUGGUUAUUUUACCAAGGCUUUGACUGGAAUGGCAUGGUUUCAGUUAUAAACAGACUGCUUUAAGGAAUCAAAGUUGACUUACAGAGCUGAUAAAAGGCCCCUAAGAAAAACUGGCCUCACCUCUUGUCUAUAUAGUCCCUAUAUAGGUUUCCUGACCUGUGAAGUUCCAGGGAUUGAAUCUUGAGACAAUCUGGGUGCCUAUGGAAUUAUCUCCCACCAGAAGAUUACUUCAAGGCAGCAGCUAAUUUACAACCUGGUCAAGCCUGAGAUGGUGCCAACCCAUUCUUAAGAUGGGACAAUAACUCAAGAUAAGUCAUCAAAACAAGCCACGUAGACCAGCACCACCUCUCAUGCCCCCACCCACCACCCCCCACCCACCACAUAUCCUCCAUACCAAACUUCCCCUUCUUAAACCCUAGCAUUUUGCCCAAGAAUUUUGAAGCAGUUUCAUUAAGGCAGGAGCCUGAACCACUUCCCCACUGUUAGCUUUGGAAAAUGAAGUCAAUUUCCUUAUACUGAACCUUGUCCUUGUUAUUCAGUUUUGCAAGUGGUGAGCAGCUGAACCUACAUUUGGUUGCAGUCUUAUUUCUCAAUUGGGGCAGUGUCUGUUUUGUCUCUCAACUGGGGCAGCACAGCGUUAAAGCUAGUGAUUUAAUUUCUUUUAUGGAGAAGUUAUUCCCUUACCCUUUAUUUUGUAAGGUAUUAGUAAUAGACCAGUGAUGGUUAUUAUGUUUAGUCAUACUAGUGUUAAGUACCAAUAACUGUGCUGGGGAAACAUGGAUAUAUAAUAUUUCUGAUAUUCUAUCCAAUCUUGCCCUUGAAGAGAUUCCCACUAUGGGAAAUCCAGAACUACUGGAAAGGGACAUGAGACCACAUACCCAAUGAGCAUCCUUUUGUAACCUAUUAGCAUAGUGUUGGGCCCAUUGCAAAAAGAGGUUGCUUUAUGGGCAACAAGUGGUAUAGUAGUACCAAGGCAUGAGAACUAAGGAGAAAAAAAAAAAGAAGUUUGGUGGAAGCUUGUAAAAUAAAAUAUUCUCCAUCUAUUAACAAUUGUUAAUAUUAAGCAUUAAGUUAGAUACAGACCUGGUCCAGGUCUUGGGACACCCAACCAUGUCUGCGACCAUCUUCUUCUCAAUUGGGCACCACCUUAUCUUAAGUAGAAGAUUACUCUCUGGUGAAACAGUCUAUUCAGGAGGCUCAGCUUUCCUUAGAUGUGAGACGUGAAUCCAGGAGUCUAUGCCUUCUAGUUUAGCAGCACAAGGAUUAGUAAGAAGUACCUGGUAAGGUCCGCUGUAUCCUGGUUGGAGACAAUCUUUUAAGAAAUGUUUCCAAUAGACAAAAUCUCCAGGUUCAAGUCUGUGGUUCUUAGAUUUAUGUUUCCAAGAAGCUUUCUGUGAAAAGAUUAUUUUACUAAGUCACAAGGUGGCACAAUUUCUAGGAGACAUUUUGAUAGGUUUGCCUGUUAUUUUAAAUGGAGAUAACUGUUAUUUUACCAAAAGGAGUAAAUCUUUUGUUUAGCAAAACCAAUGGAAUGGAUUUUGGCCAAGGAAUUUUAAAAGCCUCAGUUAAUUUUACCAUUUGGGUUUUUAUUAUUCUGUUUGUGCAUUCUACUAACCCAGAUGAUGGGGAGUAAUAAACACAAUGGAAAUGCU